CNCCAGUGGCGAAAGCGGCUCUCUGNUCUGUCACUGACGCUGAGGCUCGAAAGCGUGGGUAGCGAACAGGAUUAGAUACCCUGGUAGUNCACGCCGUAAACGAUGAGUGCUAGGUGUUAGGCCCUUUCCGGGGCUUAGUGCCGGAGCUAACGCAAUAAGCACUCCGCCUGGGGAGUACGACCGCAAGGUUGAAACUCAAAGGAAUUGACGGNGGCCCGCACAAGCGGUGGAGCAUGUGGUUUAAUUCGAAGCAACGCGAAGAACCUUACCAGGUCUUGACAUCCCGAUGCUAUUCUUAGAGAUAGGAAGUUACUUCGGUACAUCGGAGGCAGGUGGUGCAUGGUUGUCGUCAGCUCGUGUCGUGAGAUGUUGGGUUAAGUCNNGCAACGAGCGCAACCCUUAUUGUUAGUUGCCAUCAUUAAGUUGGGCACUCUAGCGAGACUGCCGGUAAUAAACCGGAGGAAGGUGGGGAUGACGUCAAAUCAUCAUGCCCCUUAUGACCUGGGCUACACACGUGCUACAAUGGUCGGUACAACGAGUUGCGAGCCGGUGACGGCAAGCUAAUCUCUGAAAGCCGAUCUCAGUUCGGAUUGGAGGCUGCAACUCGCCUCCAUGAAGUCGGAAUCGCUAGUAAUCGCGGAUCAGCACGCCGCGGUGAAUACGUUCCCGGGCCUNG
rnacentral:rRNA from 1 species